rnacentral:rRNA from 1 species
AGCGCAGGCGGUUUCUUAAGUCUGAUGUGAAAGCCUUCGGCUUAACCGGAGAAGAGCAUCGGAGACUGGGAGACUUGAGUGCAGAAAAGGACAGUGGAACUCCAUGUGUAGCGGUGAAAUGCGUAGAUAUAUGGAAGAACACCAGUGGCGAAGGCGGCUGUCUGGUCUGUAACUGACGCUGAGGCUCGAAAGCAUGGGUAGCGAACA